rnacentral:rRNA from 1 species
GACGUAGGGGGCGAGCGUUGUCCGGAUUUAUUGGGCGUAAAGCGCGCGCAGGCGGUUCGGAAAGUCGGAUGUGAAAAUCCAGGGCUCAACCCCGGACGUGCAUCCGAUACUCCCGGACUGGAGGCAGGUAGGGGCGAGCGGAAUUCCCGGUGUAGCGGUGGAAUGCGUAGAGAUCUCCAAGAACACCCGUUGCGAAGGCGGCUAGCUGGGUUCACAUUGACGCUGAGGCUCGAAAGCGUGGGGAGCAAACAGG